rnacentral:rRNA from 1 species
UACGAAGGGGGCUAGCGUUGCUCGGAAUCACUGGGCGUAAAGCGCACGUAGGCGGACUCUUAAGUCGGUGGUGAAAUCCUGGAGCUCAACUCCAGAACUGCCUUUGAUACUGAGAAUCUUGAGUAUGGGAGAGGUGAGUGGAACUGCGAGUGUAGAGGUGAAAUUCGUAGAUAUUCGCAAGAACACCAGUGGCGAAGGCGGCUCACUGGCCCAUAACUGACGCUGAGGCACGAAAGCGUGGGGAGCAAACAGG